rnacentral:lncRNA from 1 species
GGUCACGUUACUAACUUAACUCUUUAAUUAUUUUUAUAAUUAUUUUCCUUCGCUCUCCCAUUUAAAUUCUCUAAUUCCUCGUAUAGGACCACUGACGUGACGUCAUACCUCGGUGAUGGAACAUACUCCACCUAUCGAGAAUUAUUUCGCGUUCGGUGAGUUUGACGUCGUACUCUUGGAAGGAGAGACGAAUGUUCAUCACUUGACCUGUGGCUGUAGGUGAAGUUGGUUGCUACCAUAGAAUAUUAGAAUGGCGGUUGGUUUUUUAUUUUAUAACAUCAGUGAAAAGAAAAAAAUUACCACAAAUGGUUUUCUACAGUAGGGUGGCAUGUGGGUAGAACAACCCCUCUUGGAAUCGGAAUAGAAAUCACCGCCAUUUUGGAGUAACCACAUGGUGAACUCAUAGCCCUUUGACACCUAGGGAAACCACUACAGCCACAGUCAAGUCACCUUGGGAAUAUGUCUAAUUGGGAGCAAGCUAUGGGAGCGUUCCAGCUCAAUUUUCGUCUUGGCACCUGGGCCUACAGGAGUCAUGGGGUCGCACCAUCCUGGUGCAUCAUUUUCUAGGAUGCAACCGCAACCUCGUUUGGGAACAUUCAGUGAGGUGUUUUAGUAACUAUUGGUUUUUUUUAUAUUUCAGACUAUCUGUUAAAUACACUAUGUUUUUUUUCCAGAUUUAGGUUACCUCUGGUUUUUUUUUAAUAUGACAUAUUUGUAUAUUAUUGUAUUUGGUUCCCAAACUUUGUAUCUACGGUAACUUCUUGUGCACAGGAAUAAGCCUAGAGAAAAUUAGGUUUUUAAUACUUUAUUAUUGCUUUGAUAUUGGUUUAUGUAAUUCGGGUAAAUUUAUUUUUUAAUAUUACUAGCUUGUUUCCCAAAUAUUUUACUAUUAUUCGCUUUAUUCCAUUUGUUCGGUUAAUUUAGGUCAUCGUCGGUAUUUAUCUCAACUUCAUUUCUACUUUAGUCAAUUGUAUAUUUAACUUUAUUUAUUCAUUACUGUAUUUUCCCUUAGUGAGGCUUGGGCCUAUUUAUUUGUAGUAUUUUCAUCUUUGUCAGUUUCCUUAGUUGUACGUAGCAGGCGUACUAUAA